rnacentral:rRNA from 1 species
AAAUUGAAGAGUUUGAUCAUGGCUCAGAUUGAACGCUGGCGGCAGGCCUAACACAUGCAAGUCGAACGGUAACAGGAAGCAGCUUGCUGCUUUGCUGACGAGUGGCGGACGGGUGAGUAAUGUCUGGGAAACUGCCUGAUGGAGGGGGAUAACUACUGGAAACGGUAGCUAAUACCGCAUAAUGUCGCAAGACCAAAGAGGGGGACCUUCGGGCCUCUUGCCAUCGGAUGUGCCCAGAUGGGAUUAGCUAGUAGGUGGGGUAACGGCUCACCUAGGCGACGAUCCCUAGCUGGUCUGAGAGGAUGACCAGCCACACUGGAACUGAGACACGGUCCAGACUCCUACGGGAGGCAGCAGUGGGGAAUAUUGCACAAUGGGCGCAAGCCUGAUGCAGCCAUGCCGCGUGUAUGAAGAAGGCCUUCGGGUUGUAAAGUACUUUCAGCGGGGAGGAAGGGAGUAAAGUUAAUACCUUUGCUCAUUGACGUUACCCGCAGAAGAAGCACCGGCUAACUCCGUGCCAGCAGCCGCGGUAAUACGGAGGGUGCAAGCGUUAAUCGGAAUUACUGGGCGUAAAGCGCACGCAGGCGGUUUGUUAAGUCAGAUGUGAAAUCCCCGGGCUCAACCUGGGAACUGCAUCUGAUACUGGCAAGCUUGAGUCUCGUAGAGGGGGGUAGAAUUCCAGGUGUAGCGGUGAAAUGCGUAGAGAUCUGGAGGAAUACCGGUGGCGAAGGCGGCCCCCUGGACGAAGACUGACGCUCAGGUGCGAAAGCGUGGGGAGCAAACAGGAUUAGAUACCCUGGUAGUCCACGCCGUAAACGAUGUCGACUUGGAGGUUGUGCCCUUGAGGCGUGGCUUCCGGAGCUAACGCGUUAAGUCGACCGCCUGGGGAGUACGGCCGCAAGGUUAAAACUCAAAUGAAUUGACGGGGGCCCGCACAAGCGGUGGAGCAUGUGGUUUAAUUCGAUGCAACGCGAAGAACCUUACCUGGUCUUGACAUCCACGGAAGUUUUCAGAGAUGAGAAUGUGCCUUCGGGAACCGUGAGACAGGUGCUGCAUGGCUGUCGUCAGCUCGUGUUGUGAAAUGUUGGGUUAAGUCCCGCAACGAGCGCAACCCUUAUCCUUUGUUGCCAGCGGUCCGGCCGGGAACUCAAAGGAGACUGCCAGUGAUAAACUGGAGGAAGGUGGGGAUGACGUCAAGUCAUCAUGGCCCUUACGACCAGGGCUACACACGUGCUACAAUGGCGCAUACAAAGAGAAGCGACCUCGCGAGAGCAAGCGGACCUCAUAAAGUGCGUCGUAGUCCGGAUUGGAGUCUGCAACUCGACUCCAUGAAGUCGGAAUCGCUAGUAAUCGUGGAUCAGAAUGCCACGGUGAAUACGUUCCCGGGCCUUGUACACACCGCCCGUCACACCAUGGGAGUGGGUUGCAAAAGAAGUAGGUAGCUUAACCUUCGGGAGGGCGCUUACCACUUUGUGAUUCAUGACUGGGGUGAAGUCGUAACAAGGUAACCGUAGGGGAACCUGCGGUUGGAUCAC